AUUGAACGCUGGCGGCAUGCCUUACACAUGCAAAUCGAACGGUAACGGGCCUUCGGGUUCCGACGCGUGGCGGACGGGUGAGUAAUACAGCCGAACGUGCCCGAACGAGGGGGAUAACGAGGCGCAAGCUUUGCUAAUACCGCAUACGAACUACGGGUGACAGCCCGGGACCGCAAUGCCUUGCGCGGACGGAGCGGCCGAUGCCAUAGUAGGCCGUUGGUGUGAUAAAAGCUUACCACGCCGACGAUCUAUAGCUGGUCUGGGAGGAUGUUCAGCCACAGUGGGAGUGAGACACGGCCCAGACUGCUACGGGAGGCAGCAGUAGGCAAUUAUGGACAAUGGGCGCAAGCCUGAUCCAGCAAUGCCGGGUGGAGGAUGAAGGCCUUGGGGUUGGAAACUAAUUUUGUAAGGAGCGAAAAGCUUUCUUUUAAGACGGGAAGGUCAUGACGGUACCGGAAGAAUAAGCACCGGCUAACUACGUG
rnacentral:rRNA from 1 species